GAUUGUUCCUGAGCAAUGCUGAACUUCUCCACUGACAUCGAGCUGCAGGUUGAAAUAAAAUUGGACCAAAUGAUGCUUUACUAAAAGGGUGAAGAAGUCCUUCAGUUACUGCAUUCUCCGCUAGCGAAAAACCAUAUCUCUUUGGAGCAGUAGAGUAGUUAGCAACUAUUCUACUGGAUAGAGAAGGCUGCAAAUGGCUUCCUGAAGUCUUGCACU
rnacentral:misc_RNA from 1 species